GAUGAAGAACGCAGCGAAAUGCGAUAAGUCAUGUGAAUUGCAGAAUUCAGUGAAUCAUCGAAUCUUUGAACGCACAUUGCGCCCGCCAGUAUUCUGGCGGGCAUGCCUGUUCGAUCGUCAUUUCAACCAUCAAGCCCUGCUUGCGUUGGGGUCCUGCGGCUGCCCGCAGGCCCUGAAAACCAGUGGCGGGCUCGCUAGUCACACCGAGCGCAGUAAUACAUCUCGCUUUGGGCGUGCGGCGGGUUCUUGCCGUUAACCACCCCCUUUUUACCAAGGUUGACCUCGGAUCAGGUAGGAAUACCCGCUGAACUUAAGCAUAUCAAUAAGCGGAGGA
rnacentral:misc_RNA from 1 species